GGGGUGGAGGGGAAUCAAUAUGAAAAGUUACAUAGUAAAAUAACUAUGGCAGAUGUUUGAGAUGUUAAUAAACAGUGGAGUGCCGAGAGUGUUCUAGGCCGUUGAGUUGCAGAACAUUCUGCUCGUAUCGGGUAUUUUUCGUGUAUUCUCUCAAGAUGAGCCAUGUUUGCCAUAAUGUAGUAGGGCUUUUGGAAUUCAGCCUAGUGGCUCUCCUGUUGAUCAAUACAUCCAAUGCAGCUUGUGUCCCGCUCUUCGGCGCUUGUGUUCAGUCUCUGGAGUGUUGCAACCAUCCCGAUAUUAUCUGUCGUGCCAAUGUUUGUUUUAAGCCGAUUGCAGCGGUUCGCGGCGUGGAGAAUCGAAUCACCGAAUACCUAGAAUAUCAAGUUCGGCUUAGUAAUUUAAGAGAAUCUAUGAAAGCGAAUACUUCAAGAUUUAAAUAAAUCCUAGGAUUGAACGCGUGUGAUCAGUCUAGGGAGUGUUGCAACCACCCACCAAUAGUCUGUCGAGCCAAUUUGUGUGUACAGCCGAGAGAAGUUAAUGUUAAACUGGAGAAUAUAGCCGCCGACGCCAUGGAAAAAUUAGUUAAUAAUAAUAAUUUACGAGAAUCGAUAAAAAGGGACUACGAAGAAUACGAUCUUAAAGGAGCUAAGAAUAGAAAAAAUGCCUGUUCCACUUUCAAUGUUGUGAAAACCCUGAGGUUAAAUGUAGAGCAGGCUCUUGUUAUUACGCAAUGAAUGUUUAUAAUACUAUGCAAGCUAAUGAGAUCAUGGAAAGAAUUAUCCAGCGGAAAAAAAGCAAACUAAAAUCUGUCCUUGGCCAAUCAAAAGCUGUUUCUUCCCUCUCAGACUAAAAUCCACACAAACACAAAUACUGAGGACUGCCGGUUGAGUGCAAGCUGCUGCAUGUUCCCAUUCUGGAAAUGCGUGGACGGUGCUUGCAACAGAGACAAUAGUGAACAUUACUCCAGCCAUGAGUUUGAAUGGAUGGAAAGUUGGAGGGAUCUCCUGGACCGAAAAUCGCUCCGCAAAUGGUUCGCGGACAAAAAUAAAAAUCAAACCAAUGUGCCAUACAGUUGAUCAGUCAUUUCAUACUGAUACGUUUAAUUACAGUGCCUAUACUGCCAUUUA